GUGUUCGGGUUGUCAUGCCAAUGGCACUGCCCGGUAGCUAAAUGCGGAAGAGAUAAGUGCUGAAAGCAUCUAAGCACGAAACUUGCCCCGAGAUGAGUUCUCCCUGAGACCUUGAGUCUCCUGAAGGAACGUUGAAGACGACGACGUUGAUAGGCCGGGUGUGUAAGCGCAGCGAUGCGUUGAGCUAACCGGUACUAAUGAACCGUGAGGCUUAACCUUACAACGCCGAAG
rnacentral:rRNA from 1 species